AGAUUCCUACGGGAGGCAGCAGUGGGGAAUUUUGGACAAUGGGGGAAACCCUGAUGCAGCCAUGUCGCGUGAGUGAAGAAGGCCUUCGGGUUGUAAAGCUCUUUUGUCGAGGAAGAAACGGGGGUGGCUAAUAUCCACUUCUUGUGACGGUACCCGAAGAAUAAGCACCGGCUAACUCCGUGCCAGCAGCCGCGGUAAUA
rnacentral:rRNA from 1 species